UGAACGCUGGCGGCGUGCCUAACACAUGCAAGUCGAGCGAUCUCUCGGAAGAGAGCGGCGGACGGGUGAGUAACGCGUGGGUAACCUGCCCUGUACACACGGAUAACAUACCGAAAGGUAUGCUAAUACGGGAUAACAUACUUUUAUCGCAUGGUAGAAGUAUCAAAGCUCCGGCGGUACAGGAUGGACCCGCGUCUGAUUAGCUAGUUGGUAAGGUAACGGCUUACCAAGGCGACGAUCAGUAGCCGACCUGAGAGGGUGAUCGGCCACAUUGGAACUGAGACACGGUCCAAACUCCUACGGGAGGCAGCAGUGGGGAAUAUUGCACAAUGGGCGAAAGCCUGAUGCCAGCAACGCCGCGUGAGCGAUGAAGGCCUUCGGGUCGUAAAGCUCUGUCCUCAAGGAAGAUAAUGACGGUACUUGAGGAGGAAGCCCCGGCUAACUACGUGCCAGCCGCCGC
rnacentral:rRNA from 1 species